AUUCCAUUCAGUAGUCCCGGACGAAUUAAAAUUUAACGUACGGUUUGGACAUAAUGGAGAAAUAGAAUAUUGCUCUUUUUGCAGCGAAGCUGAAACUUUAUUUUCUCUUUGCUAGCCAUAAGUGUAAUACAUUU
rnacentral:sRNA from 1 species